rnacentral:rRNA from 1 species
GACAGAGGCCUCAAGCGUUAGGCGGAAUCACUGGGCUUAAAGCGUGUGUAGGCGGACUUCUAAGUGCCUUGUGAAAUCCCUCGGCUCAACCGGGGAACUGCGUCCGAUACUGGAUGGCUUGAGUUCGGGAGAGGAGAUUGGAAUUUACGGUGUAGCAGUGAAAUGCGUAGAUAUCGUAAGGAAGACCAGUGGCGAAGGCGAAUCUCUGGACAGUUACUGACACUGAGGCACGAAGGCCAGGGGAGCAAACGGG